GCGGCGGAGCGGGCGGGGCUGGAGAGGCGAGGGGAGGAGCCCGGGGCUGGAGCAGGGAGGAGGGGGCGCGAGAUCCCAGGAGGCAAGGAGCGCUGGCAGAGGGGCAGGGGCCUGGACGCCUUUCCUACACCCUCGUCGCCGCCGCACCGGAGCCCCGCGUGCCCUUGGAGCCGACUCUGGUCGGACGCCUUCGCUGACUAAUCCGUCCCAACUCCGGGAGACCCUCAUCUCGGAGCCACAGGCCGGGAAACCGAGAGCCAAGCGGUGAAGUCUGCUGCCCAGGUCACGCGGCGACUCAGUUUCAAACUGACUCGGAACUGAAUCGGGGCUGGUGGGACGAGACCGUGGGACAGGACGUAGGAGGGAGUGAGUUUCCCGCCCUACAGCUUCGGAAAGGCCUCCUGUGAACCCUUGGGCAGCGCCUCCCUGGGAUGCAUGUCUGAGAAGAUGAUGACGCCCAGAAGGUGAUAAGUCAGCCGGCUGCUUCGGGACAUUGGAGCCACCAGGAACACAGGCAGGCUGGCAGAGGUGCCCAGUCACCACCCUCUCCUGCCCUUUUGGGCCCCUCGAAAGCUGUGGCUGUGCAAGAAACCUGCCCUUGGAGGAAGGGCUCCACGCGGAAGGAACAGGGAUUGAAAAUUGAUCACGGUCUAAGCCAUCACGUGUCAAGCAGAUCCGGGAGGCCCAGCUCCCUCAAGCUCUCUCUCUGCCAGAGAGCCCCACGCGUCAGCAGUUUUCCCGGAAAGCAAGCGUUUUAUGUUUAGCAUCCUUGCAGCCGAUGACUGUAAUGUUGCCGCCUGGCCAGACAGGGGAUGCGGAGGGCGGGC
rnacentral:lncRNA from 1 species